UACGUAGGGAGCAAGCGUUGUCCGGAAUCAUUGGGCGUAAAGCGCGCGUAGGCGGCCCGGUAAGUCCGUCGUGAAAGUCAAAGGCUCAACCUUUGAAUGUCGAUGGAUACUGCCGGGCUAGAGUCCGGAAGAGGCGAGUGGAAUUCCUGGUGUAGCGGUGGAAUGCGCAGAUAUCAGGAGGAACACCAGUAGGCGAAGGCAGG
rnacentral:rRNA from 1 species